rnacentral:pre_miRNA from 1 species
CGGAGGAACAGCCCCAGUGGCGGGGCAGCUCUGGAGCCCUGGAUUCAGCUCCGGCAGGAACUCCGUCUGCAGGGCCUGGAGGCUCCGGGGCGGG